rnacentral:rRNA from 1 species
CCUACGGGAGGCAGCAGUGGGGAAUAUUGCACAAUGGGGGAAACCCUGAUGCAGCGACGCCGCGUGGGCGAGGAAGUACCUCGGUAUGUAAAGCCCUAUCAGCAGGGAAGAAAACGACAGUACCUGACUAAGAAGCCCCGGCUAACUACGUGCCAGCAGCCGCGGUAAUACGUAGGGGGCAAGCGUUAUCCGGAUUCACUGGGCGUAAAGGGAGCGCAGGCGGCAUGGCAAGUCUGAUGUGAAAACCCGGGGCCCAACCCCGGGAGUGCAUUGGAAACUGCCAGGCUGGAGUGUCGGAGGGGUAAGCGGAAUUCCUAGUGUAGCGGUGAAAUGCGUAGAUAUUAGGAGGAACACCAGUGGCGAAGGCGGCUUACUGGACGACUACUGACGCUGAGGCUCGAAAGCGUGGGGAGCAAACAGGAUUAGAUACCC